UUUCUUUUCUUCCCAUGUCUGUUGCCCUUCCAAUCCAAACCCAUCUCCCCCUACACCCCAGAGUCCCCGGCCCUUGGGUUCACCCGUCGCCCCGCCUCCGCCGCCAUGAUGCCCCAGCCACCGCCGGCCCCGCAGCAGGCGCCGCGCCGACCAGCGCGCCAUGGCGCAGUGGGGCACCAUCCUGCCCCCAUGCCGCCGCGCCAUGGCGCAGUGGGGCAGUUCUACUGUUUGUCAAGAUCGAGUUGACUGCAACAAUUUUGAUUCAUGACCGAGACGGACUCUCACAAAGAUACUACUCCAUCGCCUGCAAAUUCCAAGAUCAGCACCGGGACUGGAAUGAAUGAGUGCAUGACACGUGCAAUGGCCAUCUGCUUGAAGAUCUUGCCCGUACUAACAUCAUCAAGGGUAUUGCAGAGAGACCAGGGAGGCGAGUUUUCAUAAAGGACAUGACUGAGAUUUGGUCUCUCCAUGUAAAAUGGUGUUUUCCAGAAAAGGAAAAAAAAACAUUGACACUACACAAGCAGGAUUGGGGCAGCUAUCGAGGAGGGCCAUUUAUACAUAUCAGGUAUACAUUGUUGCAAUAUUACUUUGUUUAAUUUAGAUUUAUAUUGUGUUUUUUAUUUAUAGGGACAUCAAUGGUGUUCCCCAUUAGAACAAUACAUUGACACUACACAAGCAGGAUUGGGGUGGCUAUCGAGGAGGGCUAUUUAUACAUAUCAGUUUCUAAACAACUGAACUCAGAAGUUUGAAAUUCUCCAAGGAGGACCAUUGGUUCCCUCUUCACCAAGAUGUGUUUACUGCAGUAUAUAUAAUUUUCGUUUUACUUCUUGCUUAUAAAUAACCAUCUCUAUAAUGAUUCUCUCAUAACAACCUGUUUUGACUAAAUCCUAAGUAUUUGCAAAAUCGAAUGUUCUUUGCCAUACACGUUUACAUAUAUCGUUAGUAUAUAAUUUCUACGCAUGUUUCCCGCGGCAACGUGUGGGGUAUUAUCUAGUUCGUUAAGAUGUCCAGACUACAAUUUUUUUUCCUCAAAAGACCCGGUUCAAGUUCCAGGGCCAGGAGGCCGGAUUUAGCGAAAGAAACUACAUUGGGUUUAGAGAGGAUAAAAAUUGAGUAUAAAAUACUACUACCUUCGUUUUUAAACAUAAGUAGUUUUGCUUUAACUCAAAUUUCUUAAAAUUUGAACAAGUUUACGGAAAAAAUAUACUAAUAUCUGCAAUACUAAAAAGUAUCCUAGGAAACUAUAUACAUCGUGAGGGAUUUAAUGAAACUAAUUUAGAGUUAUAGAGGUUCAUAGAUUUUUUUUUACAAACUUGGUCAAACUCGAAAGAUAAACUUAGAACAUCUGAUAUUCAGGAACAGAGGGAGUAGCAUAUUUUUGUUUUCUCAAAUACUAUGCAAUUUGCUCUUGAUAUAUUUUAGAGGGCACAUGGCCCUUGCUUGCCCUUCCCUCUCUUGUUUUCUUUCCUACACACGUGUCCUGGAUUAUAUUGGUAAACCAUAGGUUUUCUACCUGGUUAUCAUCUUCUACAAGCGUGGCGUUUCUUUAUACUAAUAAGGUAGAGUUCAACGUUGAGGUGGAUUAUGAUAAUCUAGCCUCGUCAACCAGAUUUUGUCACUUUUUUUUGUUUUCCUGACAAACUUUUACCGCUAUUUCAUGUGUAUUUUUCCACGGUAGAUUAUAAAGUAAAUUCAGCACGACAUUGUUCAGUAACCGGAAACUGAGCCGAAGGUGUCCAUGCAUUGCUACAGGGCAAUACAAAGAUAUAUAUCAAUUUAAAUUGCUGUUCACUUACGAAAUACACUAGUCAAGCACGAUUAUACAACGGUAGGCUGGUAGGUCUCCCGGUUAUGUUGGGAAUCUAUGUACACACAACUUGGGUUUGGGAAUGAGAUAGUAGAAUUUUAAAAGAUCAUGUGUGUAACAAUGUCAAGCAAGUCAAAACAAAUUAAAUAAAUUUUUGGUGAUUUUCAAGAAGCACUAAGCUAGAGCAUAACAAAUGGUGAAACGGAAGUCGGAGAAUAUGGAUUGACUAGAGUUGAUAUUGAAGACUCGACAAGAGAAAUUUAAGUUGUUACUUCUCGGCGUCACAAGGCCUAACAGGAGCUGAUGAAGAUGGCUUCUAUGGCAAAGGCAACAUAGUCAAUGAGGUUAUGUAGAGUUUGGACGGUGGUACUCCUCGACCAGAAGGCGUGGAGCCAGCUUGUCUGUUGUCAAAGAUUUUUUUCUUUAAAAAAGUGUACUCAAUGUUUUUUUCCUUGAGGAAAGAGAUAAUCCAAGCUGGGUUUUUUCCCCGAGGGAACAGAUAGCCAUUGUUUUCUUUUUCGAGGAAAGAUAUCUUACCUUGAAUUUUUUCCAUUGAGGCAAGAGAUAAUAAAUAUCGAGAGAUACUUUUUAGGCAAGAUAUAAUCGUAUUUUUGUUUGAAUUAGAUAAUCCACCUUGAUUUUUUUUUCUCUAAGACGCCUAAUCUUUUCUGAUUUAAAAAGCCCGUCUCUCUUUCUCCGUUUCGAAGCAGAAGCACACACCAGUUCACGUCGCCUCUUUCUAACCCCCAACCUAUCAUAUCCCAAUCCCAUCCCACCUGAUCUAAAACCCUAGAUCCCGAGAAUAUGACGGAUUGUUGAGGUCAUGGAAGACCAAAGGGAAUUCGACCAUGCCAAGAGAGCCGCCAUUGGAUAUCAUAUCAUCCUCUACGAAGAAGUUUGCCAAUAUCUGAGCAAAGAAAAGAAAUGGAAGUGGAAAUCCAGAUGAGGAUUUGCUUGCUGACGAAGAUUUUAUUGCCAGUCCAAAAACUCCCGAAACAACCAAGGGUGCUGCUCCUUCAACUCCCAUGUCAUGGACUGUGGAUGAGCAGGACAACAAGAGCAAGAAGAAAAGGAAAGACAUGGGAGGGACCCAAGGUCCAACCAUAUUAAACAAAAGGGAGAUCAUCUGGAAAAAAUCUGCAAUAUCUUCAUCCUUCUUUGCUACUGCCACAAUAACCAAUUGGUGCUGGUUUGGUCACUGAUGUUCUGCGCCUGAAAAGAUGGUGAUUCUGCUGUCCCAUUCUUGUAAUAUAGUGUUUGGCUGGACAAACAGAUCCUCCACGGUGUUCGAGUGAACAGAAAAUGAGCUACUCCGGGCAAGCUUAAGAGGGCUCCAGGGUGCUAACCUAAUGAGGACAUAUUUUCUUCUGGUAUUGGGUCACCUCGCAGCCCCUAAUGCCACUUUGUGUAAGAACAAAGAGUUCUUCAGUCCCUUGUGGCUUCUUAAGUAGAGGAGCUAAGGUGGUGCGAUUUAUCAGUGGAAUUUUUGGUAGCCGGUGUCAUGAGACGGAAGGGACAGGGAGUGAAACCAGCUUUGGCAACAAUAAAAGGAAAUGCACUAUCAUAUUUCUCGACUUGGUGGUGUUAGAGACGUCACUAGCUUUUCGAGGCCACGAUGAAUCAAAAGAGUCGAAAAAUAAGGGAAACUUUCGAGGGUUGGUAUAGACUGGGAAAUCAAAAUGAUACUAAAUUCAUGGUGCCAAUUUGGAUGGGAUUGCCGAUUUUGCUAAAUUAAUGGUGCAAACAAAUAAGCAUAAUACUUUUCAUUUGGUCUAUCAACUUCUUAAGUUAGUAUUGAUAUUGCCGGUUGCUACAACAUCAAUUGAGAGAUGUUUUUCAUCUAUGAAUGUUCUCAAGAAAAAAUUGCGUAAUGAAAUGGGUGACCAAUUCAUGAGUGAUUGUCAAAUUUGCUAUGUGGAGAAAGACAUGUUUUCUACAUUUACCAAUGAAGACGUGAUUAAUGUUUACAAGAAAGAUGAGAAAGCGACAAGGAAAACUUGGAGAUGAAGAGCAAAACUGUCCCCAAAAAGCUACAAACUUGUUUAUUCACUAUGUUUCAUAUAUGUAAAAAGGUGGUUAUAGAAUUUCAUUCAACCGGUAUGUCUUUGUCCUUUAGUUUUAAUGUGAUGAUUAUACAUGAUAUGUUAUUUUCAUUUUUUAUGCUCCUUUGAGUGGUAUACUCUUGUUUAGAGAUGGUCUAAGAUCGUAAAAUAGUAUAGUUAGUUUAUGCCCAAAUUUUGAACGAACCCAUGGACCAAAAUUUCUGGCUCCACCCCUCCUACUACGUCGGUGUUGUUCUUCCAAAUAUAAUGGUGCCAUUGUAUAUUUACGAGGGUAUUUUGCUAAUUUUAUUGAAGGAUGGUAAAAAUCUAUUGGUGUGGCUCUAUUGUAGGUUAAUUCGGCCUUGGGUUUGAGUCCUCGUCCUCAAUACACCAUCACACCCACUCGUAUAAACUACACCUUCGUCUACAUAAAUCGCAUGUGCUGCAAUAGAUUCCUGCCACUACACCAUUCACGUACAAGGAGUUGCUAGUGGAGGUGUCGCAAGGGUCACGAAUAGUCAGACUGAAUUUUGGGUUUACCGGAGGUCCGGAGCAGGUGCAUACUUUUUUUUCCAGAGCACGAGAAACACUAGUGUUAUCUAGAUAUGUGUAAGCGCAAACUUCCUAGAAUAUCAAAUCACCAAGGUCGACAUUCCAUCUUGAAAGCUUAGGGAGUUCCUACUCGAGCGAAGUUACCAAGGACGCUGAAAAGCAUGCAGAUUGCCAGUUGAGAGGUUGGGAAGCACAUAGACAUCCUAAAAAAUAUACGAAGUAGCAUGAAGGUGAUGGAUUCUUUGUGUGGUAUUUCUUUGUCUAUCCGCAUGAAGUAUGACAUGGAUCGGGGAUUUCAUAAUUAUCGGGAGACGAAGCUCCUCUCUUAGAGGAUGUAACCUCCCAAGGACAUUGACAAUUCUGAACCUCCAAUCCAGACCGUCCUUCAUGUGCGAAGACCAUGGGUCUAUCACAUGAGAUGCAAUGUCACACAUAAUCCUUUCCUUCAUGUUUCUAGACACUUCUCGCAAAUUCUAUGCUUCGGUCGAGAAGGAACUCAUAUUAAACUCUUGAGAUGCCAUGUCAGCCUUGUAGAUUUGAUAUACUAGGAUUUUGUGGCUAUGCAUAUUUGGAUGACAACGAUCUUCUGUUUCUCGUCCUCUCGAAGUUAUUUUUGUAUGCGGACUGGCUUUGCCUUGGUGAACUCGUCAUCCAAUCAACGAUCUGGUGCGGUGCAUCGUCCAAAAACUCAUGGAAUUUACCGAUAGAACUUAACACUAUCUUUGCCUUUGUGGCGUACCUCACGUUGAGACCGAUGCCAUCGUAGAAUCUAGCUAUAGCAACAGGGAGGACUUACAUAAAUGAAGGCGCCAAUGAGGUGGUACGACGGUUCAUCGCACCUAAUUUGUUGGCGCCUAGCGAUAUCUAUAUGCCUACCUAUCUAAAAAAUACGUAAGAUUCCCUUUGCCACGCGUUUUCGUUGUUCGUCAAGCCCCUGAUCUCGCUCCGUCUUUGUUCGCUCCCUUCGUCCACGUCCUGUCUUCGUUCGUUGGUUCAUCCAACCCUUCGCCCCAAAGUGGAGGCUCAGGUCCGCCACCGAUUGAUUUCUUCUGCUCCCCCGAUCUUCGUUCCACCUCCUUCUCCUGGGCCUUGCAGCCCAUCGCCCUCCCUGUCCCCAGCCAUGCCAGCAGAGCGGCCCUGCCCCCGACGAUCUCCUCAACUGGAGUGCCAAACGGAGGCACCGGCAGCAGGCCGGGCCAGUGGUACUAACCUCGUCGGCAUCGUAGUGAGAGAUGGCAGAGGUCUCGCCAGCCGUGAGAUGUCGUCGGCCGCUGCCUCCAUCCGUGGUGUUUCUGAUGAAAGUAAAUUUCAAUGCAGUAGGACAGAUUCUCCAAUAUCCCCAUGGUAGCAUACAGGAGACCGCGCCACCAAAUAUAUUUUCGAAAAAUGAAAUGCAGCUAGGUAAGUGAGUACCUUGAUUUUUCAGGCCGAAUGGAAUACAUGUAUAUGUACAGUUGAGUUUUCUCCAUUGGAAAAAUUUUCAGCCACCAGAUGGGUACACCAAACGCAGGUUGCAGAUUUACAAACUGACUAGAUUUUUUAUAGAUUUCCUUUGUUUGCAGCUUCAUAUAGCAGGAGGCACAUAUGUGAUAAUUUCAAGAGUGUCAAGGUUAGAGAUGGAAUUGACUUUUUGCUAUCUACAAUAUCUUCUCUGCCUCUUAUAUAUAUGUUCUGAAGUUGCCCUUUUUUAUUUGAAAAAAUUGUACAUCAACAAUUCGAAAAAAAUGGUGAUCACCGUAACUACAGAUUUAGCUUCUGACUUGAAUUUACUGAUUUCAUUAAUUUGCUGAUUCAUAUAGUAGGAUGCCAUCAUUUGGAUAUUACUGUUGUAGUCUUAAGUGUCACACUUACAGAUGGAAUUUACUUUUUCUAUAUCUAUGCCUCCUACAUCUAUGCCUCCUACAUAAACAUUCUGAAGUUGCCAGGUUAGUGUUCAUAUCUUUGGGAGGCAUGUGAGAACCAAAUUAGAUACUCUGGUUUAUCAUCAUUUCUUGCUCUUCAAAUUGUAAUGACACUGCAAGAGAUGACAAGAAUUGCGAAAGAUAUGGCAGGUUGUUGAUGUAUUAUAAAUCUUACUCAUGUUCGUGUCUAAAUGAACUCUUCUGAUACGGCCAGAAGAGUUUUGCUCUCAGGGACGACAGGUAGAGUUGUUCCUGGAUGCUGAUGUGAUGUGUUCUCUGUAUUUAAUUAUACAGAAAAACUGAGAUAAAACUGUUGCUCUGGGGAGAGCGAGCUGAAGAAUUUGAGGAUGAUCUGGUUCAACAAAUGGGACGGGAAUCUGCAGCGGUUGCUAUUUUUGUGGUUGUUCUCAUGAAAUCUUACAGUAUGACCAGAGGCUCGGUGUGCGGGUGGUACCUGAACGAGGAUUUACCAGAGAUUAACAACUGCUUUGAAAGAUUUGGUGACCAGCUUCAAAAGGUUCAGUGGAUAAGCAUUGGAAAGCAAUUUACACCCGUUCGAUCAAGGGUUGACCUUCCAAUUAAGACAGUUGCCGAGCUUACAUAUAUGGAUCCCUGGGAAACGGAGGAAGGAUAGUGGAAAAGCAGAUAAGUUUGGUUUCCAAACUGCCGGUGAUAACGACAUAAAUCCUCUUACUCCGACACGGCUACGUUUGUCUAAUCCUUCUUCCCGAUGUCAGGUUUAUGACGAAUCUGAUCAGGAGAACAAUAACAAAAAGGAAAAGCGAAAACAUGGGAGAGAUGCAAGGCCGUGAGAAUGCCAAGUCCGCCUUCAUGUGGGUCAGUUUAAAUGCAGAUGAGAAGAUAUGUAGCAUACGUCUUCAUGAAGUUUGGACUGCAGAGAGCAUUGGAUCCCGGGAACCAAAAUGGAUUUCCUCUGGGCUAGUCCCUUCAUGCCGGACCAACAACAAUCAAGCCCAGCAAGUAGCCUGUCAAUAACAACUGCCUUCGACGUCCGCAGCGGCCCAACCUCUGAUAAGCUUUUUUUUUUGUUUUUGCGGGUUAACCUCUCAUAAGCUUGGUGGUGCACGAUGCUGGAGCUGCCAAACAGGCAACCGCACCUCUUCAGCCUGUCCGAUCUCUAGCUUCUUUGUGUACCCCUCAACCUCAAGGCACCAACAGUCCUCCUACGGAUGAUCGAGCGGCGCCCAUCGUAUUGUGCAUCUUGAGUUUUCCUCCGGUUCGACUUCGAGCUGGGCCUUAUGGAGUACAGAUCUACGAACCGCUUUUGCAAAAAGCGGCAGGCAUUUAUAUCAUCCCAAGUCAGGACAAAGGUGUGGCCAGCUGAUGUAGCCUUAUGGAUGGAGUACAGACCGGCAGAUCGCCGCUGGAAAUUGCAACCAAACCACUCAUACGUGCGCAUCGAUCACAUGGCUGUCCAUGUGUCAUGCUGCAUGCACACCACGCCAGCUGCAGAUCACAUAUCCCCACCGCCAAGUCGCCAACAGACUCACACAGACGCUAUCUAUAUAUGAACACCUCUCCCAAAAUCUCAAUCUGUCUUGCACUCUUCUGCUUCGACAACAGCAACUAGCUAGGACAUCAUCAGAUU